rnacentral:rRNA from 1 species
AAUGAACGCUGGCGGCGUGGAUUAGGCAUGCAAGUCGAACGCGAAAGUUCCCUUCGGGGAGCGAGUAGAGUGGCGAAAGGGUGAGUAAUGCUUGGAUGACCUGCCCUCGAGACGGGGACAACAGUUCGAAAGGACUGCUAAUACCCGAUAGUCCGGUUUAGAUGCGUCUAGAUCGGUAAAUGGUGCUUCCGCUCGAGGAGGGGUUCAAGUCCUAUCAGCUUGUUGGUGAGGUAACGGCUCACCAAGGCGAUGACGGGUAGCCGGACUGAGAGGUUGGCCGGCCACAUGGGAACUGAGACACUGUCCUGACUCCUACGGGAGGCUGCAGUCGAGAAUCUUCUGCAAUGGGCGAAAGCCUGACAGAGCGACGCCGCGUGGAGGAUGAAGGCCCUCGGGUUGUAAAGCUCUGUCGGGAGGGAAGAAGGGGCAACCCUGACGGUACCUCGCAAGAAAGCACCGGCUAACUCUGUGCCAGCAGCCGCGGUAAAGUCUAG